rnacentral:rRNA from 1 species
GAAUUACAAAGCUUUUGAGUUGUUUUGCUGGUCUCUAGGGACAUUGUGCACGCUUCAUUAGUUUCCACUUCAUACCCCUGUGCACCUUUGAUAGAUUUCGGUUUCGGUUAUCCUUUGGUUAUUUUUUCUUAAUUGAAAAAAGGUUUUUGUUUUCCUUAAACGACUUCUAUACUAUACCACACACCAUAUGUAUGUUUUAUUAAUGAAUGGUUUUAUAAUAAACAAGGCCAUGAGCCUUAUAAACUUAAUACAACUUUCAACAACGGAUCUCGUGGCUCUCGCAUCGAUGAAAAACGCAGCAAAGUGCGAUAAGUAGUGAGAAUUGCAAAAUUCAGUGAAUCAUCAAAUCUUUGAACGCACCUUGCGCCCUUUGAUAUUCAAAAGGGCAUGCGUGUUUGAGUGUCAUUAAAUUCUCAAACUCUAUGACUUUAUUGUUGUAGCUGUGUGUAUUGCUGGGGGGUGCUGGCGUCCUCUUUCAAAGUCGGCUCCUCUUAUGUGCAUUAGCGAGACUGUGGUGCCUCUGCGCAUAGUGAGAUAUAUAUCUACGCUAGACGCAUGCAAUUCUUAUAUUGCCCAGCUUUCUAAUCGUCUCAGGGGAAAAUUACUUUGACAAUUUGACCUCAAAUCAGGUAGGACUACCCGCUGAACUUAAGCAUCAAAA